AUUGAACGCUGGCGGCAGGCCUAACACAUGCAAGUCGAACGAGUGGCCCACGGGUGAGUAAUAAAUCGGAACGUGUCCUAUCGUGGGCGAUAACUGAUCGAAAGAUCAGCUAAUACCGCAUACGUUUGGAGCGGCCGAUGGCCGAGUAGCUAGUUGGUGAGGUAAAGGCUCACCAAGGCGACGAUCGGUAGCUGGUCUGAGAGGACGACAAGGCCCACUGGGCGUGAGACGCGGCCCAGACUCCUACGCGAGGCGGCGUAGCGGUAUGGUGGACAAUGGGCGCAACCCUGGUCCAACCCUGCCACGUACAGGGUAAGAGUCUGCGGAUUGGAGUCGUCUUUUGUCAGGGAGGCGGUACCUGAAGAAUAAGCACCGGCUAACUACGUGCCAGCAGCCGCGGUAAUAC
rnacentral:rRNA from 1 species